ACUCCUACGGGAGGCAGCAGUGGGGAAUAUUGCACAAUGGGGGAAACCCUGAUGCAGCCAUGCCGCGUGUGUGAAGAAGGCCUUCGGGUUGUAAAGCACUUUCAGUAGGGAGGAAGGUAGUGUAGUUAACACCUGCAUUAUUUGACGUUACCUACAGAAGAAGCACCGGCUAACUCCGUGCCAGCAGCCGCGGUAAUACGGAGGGUGCGAGCGUUAUCCGGAAUCACUGGGUUUAAAGGGUGCGUAGGCGGAUAACUAAGUCUAAGGUGAAAGUCUGUGGCUUAACUAUAGAAUUGCCUUGGAUACUGGUUAUCUUGAAUUGGGUUGAGGAUGGCGGAAUGUGACAUGUAGCGGUGAAAUGCAUAGAUAUGUCAUAGAACACCGAUUGCGAAGGCAGCCAUCUGGGCCUUGAUUGACUCUGAGGCACGAAAGCGUGGGGAGCAAACAGGAUUAGAUACCCUGGUAGGAUAGCGU
rnacentral:rRNA from 1 species